rnacentral:lncRNA from 7 species
GGACCGAUGACGCCCUGCCGGACAACCUCGCCUUGGCGGCCUCCGCCUCUAGCUAGGAUCCCCCUUCUGUCGCCAUCCUGCACCACGGCGUCACCAAAUUCGGAUCAGAUCUGCUUCGUAUUUCUCUUUUGUACUUUACUUGCUUCCAGAUCCCUGCACGGCUGCACCACACGCUUCUUCUAUUAACAGAAGAUGAGUGUGAAACCUAGCAAGAGUGUUAUUAUAGGAUAUACGAUUCAGGCAUCUCUUUGUUUGCAUUGCUACUGUAGGAUUCAAUGGGUUGUUUACGUGUCUGCAGAUUUGGGACGAGAGGGACCCUCACUCUUUACUCUUUUACUGUAGGAUUCAAUGGGUUGUUUUCUCUGUUGUAAGCUUCAAUUCGUUUGGUUUGAUUGGCAGGUGUGAGGUGCUAUGAGCAUGUGACUCUAAAUCUACUAGUCCUAGAAUGGAUUACAGUUGUCAGGAAUUUUUGUUGGGACUGGUGAGCUUCAGUACCGUAGAAAGACACAGCUACAUUAUUUGUACUCUAGUACAGUACCGUAGAGUCAUUAUCAGGCCAUUCAUUUAUAAUGCCAAUAGGAUGGUUUAAUAUUCAAAGACUAGUUUCUUGCCUGUUCAUGUUAGCUGAUUUUAAACCUAACUAUUUGAUUUUUGUCUUGCAGUGAUAUAAAAAAGUUGAAACUUUCAUACUUACCUGCCGAGAAUGCAUUGUUGAAGUUGCAAAGAUGUAUGUCUAAGUUUAUUUUCACAUAAUAGUAUAUUUUUUCUAUUAUCAAGAAUUGUUUCUCAAUACAUUCAUGAGUUGGAAAUUGUAUUGUGAGCCUUUCUAUAUUAUCUAGUCUAGCUAGCUCUACAAUAGAGCUCUAGUACAGACAGAACACAUGCUUUCAUACUCCUAUGGAAUAGUAGAAUCAGGUAGUAGAAUUAGGUGUUCAUUAACCAUGCAAAUAAUUAAUUCAAGUUAUCUAAAUAGGCCCUUAGUUUAUACUGCUGAAAGUAUAAAAAGUGUUCCACUCUCAAUACCGAGAAUAGGAAGACUCCACCAUGUAUAUGUGUUCUUAUCAGGUGCUCUUCUUUCCCGAUAAAAUAAAAAUCCUUUGCUUCAAUCUGCUACAUGAUACUUUGUGUAUAGAUAAAGGAAUACAUCCAUAUGAUGUUCCUGGGAGUUAGUUUGAUGUCAAUAUACUCCAUGCUUGCUGAUUGGAAAGGAAACUAGUUAUUUCGUUUGAAGUCAUAUGCUGCUUGGCGUCAUUCUAAUCCAAGUAGCUGAGGGGUCAACAGUGGCUAACUUCCCUGUCACUUUAUUCCAAAGAGCAAAAGGGAAUCCCACCCUAGCUGUGAUAUUUUCCCUGGAUUAUGGUUGUCCAGGAAUCCUACAUGGAGUGGAAUUUAUCUCCGGGUUAAUUAACCUUGGUUGCCAAACUAGCCCUCAAUGUGCGGGACAAGAAGGGAAAUACUGCUUUGCACAUAGCUACACGGAAAUGGAGGCCCCAGGUAUGGUUCUUUUCAGGUGUCUUUUACAAGUAGUUUGCUAUUUCAGUUUUAGCUGACUAUAACCUGCAUUGAGAGCUAUAACGCUGUUAUAUCUGUAAGGCGUGGUUUCAGUGUGUAGCCAAUUUUUUAUUUAUUUGCCCUCAUUUUAGAGUUACAUCUGCGCGGACAUAUUGUUUUCUUACAGCUAUCUGAAGUUUAGUAGCUGUCUGAAGUUUAGUAGCUAUCUAUCUUGUUUUUCAGGGAUCUGGAAUAACAGGAGCCUGAUGGUUGCAUCAGUAGAGUUGACCACUUCUCAGUAUUGCGAGAUGCAUCUUACAUGGUCAAGAAGAUAAUUCCUAUUCUGAGCUACUUGCUCGUGUACAAGUCUCCUUAUCAUGUCCUCCUUUCAAGCCAGUCUAUUCUUUGCUUGAUUCAUCACGGGUGCACAUUAUUGUAAUUAGAAUCUUCAGAGUACUCGAAGGAUAGUUAAAGCUGUUUGGCUAGUCCUUCAGAUUACUGAAAAUAUAGUUAAGAACAUUUGUAUUUUGCUAUUUCGAUUUCCAACAGUACAACUAUUGGGGAUGAUUGUUUAUGUGAUGUGGAUCUAUCAUUGUGCAAUACUAAUUAAAUUUGUAU